AGUGAACGCUGGCGGCAGGCUUAACACAUGCAAGUCGAACGAGCGGCGGACGGGUGAGGAAUGCAUCGGAAUCUACUCUGUCGUGGGGGAUAACGUAGGGAAACUUACGCUAAUACCGCAUACGAUUGAAUGAGCCGACUGGGGAUUAGCUAGUUGGCGGGGUAACGGCCCACCAAGGCGACGAUCCGUAGCUGGUCUGAGAGGAUGAUCAGCCACACUGGAACUGAGACAAGGUCCAGAAUCCUACGGGAGGCAGCAGUGGGGAAUAUUGGACAAUGGGCGCAAGCCUGAUGCAGCCAUACCGCGUGGGUGAAGAAGGCCUUCGGGUUGUAAAGCCCUUUUGGUGGGAGGGCGGUACCCGAAGAAGAAGCACCGGCUAACUUCGUGCCAGCAGCCGCGGUAAUUC
rnacentral:rRNA from 1 species